CCAGGCUAAUACCGCAUACGUCCUACGGGAGAAAGGGGGCUUUGGCUCCCGCUAUUGGAUGAGCCUAUGUCGGAUUAGCUAGUUGGUGAGGUAAUGGCUCACCAAGGCAACGAUCCGUAGCUGGUCUGAGAGGAUGAUCAGCCACAUCGGGACUGAGACACGGCCCGAACUCCUACGGGAGGCAGCAGUGGGGAAUAUUGGACAAUGGGGGCAACCCUGAUCCAGCCAUGCCGCGUGUGUGAAGAAGGCCCUCGGGUUGUAAAGCACUUUCAGCGAGGAAGAACGCCUAGUGGUUAAUACUUAUUAGGAAAGACAUCACUCGCAGAAGAAGCACCGGCUAACUCCGUGCCAGCAGCCGCGGUAAUACGGAGGGUGCAAGCGUUAAUCGGAAUUACUGGGCGUAAAGCGCGCGUAGGUGGCUUGAUAAGCCGGUUGUGAAAGCCCCGGGCU
rnacentral:rRNA from 1 species